UGUGCCAGCAGCCGCGGUAAUACAGAGGGUGCAAGCGUUAAUCGGAAUUACUGGGCGUAAAGCGAGCGUAGGUGGCUUGAUAAGUCAGAUGUGAAAUCCCCGGGCUUAACCUGGGAACUGCAUCUGAAACUGUUAGGCUAGAGUAGGUGAGAGGGAAGUAGAAUUUCAGGUGUAGCGGUGAAAUGCGUAGAGAUCUGAAGGAAUACCGAUGGCGAAGGCAGCUUCCUGGCAUCAUACUGACACUGAGGCUCGAAAGCGUGGGUAGCAAACAGGAUUAGAUACCCUGGUAGUCCACGCCGUAAACGAUGUCUACUAGUCGUUGGGUCCCUUGAGGACUUAGUGACGCAGCUAACGCAAUAAGUAGACCGCCUGGGGAGUACGGCCGCAAGGUUAAAACUCAAAUGAAUUGACGGGGGCCCGCACAAGCGGUGGAGCAUGUGGUUUAAUUCGAUGCAACGCGAAGAACCUUACCUGGUCUUGACAUAUCUAGAAUC
rnacentral:rRNA from 1 species